GUCCUCGCUUAGGCAGCACAUAUAGUAAAAAGUUGGAAUGAUACAGAGAUUAGCAUGGCCCCUGCACAAGGAUGACACGCAAAUUCAUGAAGCCUUUCAUAUUUUU
ensembl:snRNA U6 U6 spliceosomal RNA